AGAAUACGGGUGCCAUCAAGGGUGCUAGGAGCACAUCAGAAGGACUCAGAAGUCAGCUGAGGAUCCCACUGACCAAAGAUGGAGAAAAAACAACAUGACAUUCAAAAAAGAUCAAUCGCGAUGCUCACGGCAUCUUUACUGGGACUAGUUUCCAUCUGAAAAGCCAUUUCCUUUGUUCAUCUGUGAGAAAGUCUUCCUCGUCCAUUAAAGCUUGGUCCUGAGAUUGCAGCAGCUGGUCCCAUCUUCAGGCUCCACUUCUAAUUCCAGUUCUCUUGCUGCUUCCCCCACAUCUGCAGCUGCUUCCUCUACUGAGGCUUGAAUCCUUCAAAGCCAUCCAUGCGGACUGGAAUCAGUGUCUUCCAAACUCCUGUUAAUGUGAUAUUUUGA
rnacentral:lncRNA from 13 species